rnacentral:rRNA from 1 species
GUACACUCCUGCGGGAGGCAGCAGUGGGGAAUAUUGGACAAUGGGCGCAAGCCUGAUCCAGCCAUGCCGCGUGAGUGAUGAAGGCCCUAGGGUUGUAAAGCUCUUUCACCGGUGAAGAUAAUGACGGUAACCGGAGAAGAAGCCCCGACUAACUUCGUGCCAGCAGCCGCGGUAAUACGAAGGGGGCUAGCGUUGUUCGGAUUUACUGGGCGUAAAGCGCACGUAGGCGGACUAUUAAGUCAGGGGUGAAAUCCCGGGGCUCAACCCCGGAACUGCCUUUGAUACUGGUAGUCUUGAGUUCGAGAGAGGUGAGUGGAAUUCCGAGUGUAGAGGUGAAAUUCGUAGAUAUUCGGAGGAACACCAGUGGCGAAGGCGGCUCACUGGCUCGAUACUGACGCUGAGGUGCGAAAGCGUGGGGAGCAAACAGGAUUAGAAACCCUAGUAGUCCCAUG